UACAGAGGUCUCAAGCGUUGUUCGGAUUCAUUGGGCGUAAAGGGUGCGUAGGCGGCGCGGUGAGUCGGAUGUGAAAUCUCGGAGCUUAACUCCGAAACUGCAUUCGAUACUGCCGUGCUUGAGGACUGGAGAGGAGACGUGGAAUUUACGGUGUAGCGGUGAAAUGCGUAGAUAUCUGGAGGAACACCGGUGGCGAAGGCGGCGUCCUGGACCAACACUGACACUGAUGAGCGAAAGCCAGGGGAGCAAACGGG
rnacentral:rRNA from 1 species